CGGGUAAAACCCCCUUCUCUUCUUUUUUUUCGAUUUAAAAACGAAUGGAUUUGAUGAGAUUGAAGAGAAAAGGAACGCUAGGGCUCCUUUGAAAUCCGCCAGAGUUAUUCAGUAAUGAAUUGCAAUUUCCUUUAUCAAUUUCUCCUCUCACUUGCUUCAAUGAGAGAGAAAGUAGAAAGAGAAGAACCCAUAAACCAAAAACCCAGAAGGGUUGCAGUCCAAUCUCUCUCACUCACUCUAUCUCUCCUCUGCUGACUUUCUCUGGAGAAGGUGAAGAAGCAGCACAGAGAAAUUAUGUAAAGUAGAGGGAGAUAGAGGGGAUUUAGUUUUUCAAGGGAUUUGCAUUUUCCACCAUAGAAAUCCACGGACAAACAUUGUCAUUAUAUAUUGUAUAAAAUUAUUUAAUGCAGCACGAACAUAGAGUUUGU
rnacentral:lncRNA from 1 species